rnacentral:misc_RNA from 1 species
AACGCACAUUGCGCCCGCCAGCACUCUGGCGGGCAUGCCUGUCCGAGCGUCAUUUCAACCCUCGCCGCCCCGACCUCGCGUCGCGGGCGCGGUGUUGGGGACCGGCCCACCCACCCCCCGCCACUGGGCGCGGGCGGUGGCCGCCCCCGAAAUCCAUUGGCGGUCGCGCCGCCGGCCCCCUGCGUAGUAGACCUACCCCGCAGCGGGACGCGCCGCGGCCACGCCGUAAAGCCCCCGACCAUCAAAGGUUGACCUCGGAUCAGGUAGGGAUACCCGCUGAACUUAA